ensembl:lncRNA
AUGCCAUGGAGUUUUUCCACGUGCCCUCCUGUAUUAAGAACUUGGUGGCAAACUAUUUCAAGGAUCUGCAGAUGUGCUUUGCCCUACAGGACUUCAUCACCGGGUGGCAACAACUAGAGGUGGGAAUCGCCAUGGGGUGUGCCAUUUCUCCCAUUCUGUUUGUGGCAGCCUUCGAGAUCAUCCUCAUCGGAGCAAGACAGACUGUGGGAGGGAUUAAACUACCAUCCGGACAGAAGCUACCUCCACUGAGGAGCUACAUGGACGAUGUCACAAGCCUCCUUCAGACAGCACCCUGCACAUCUAGACUGCUGAAAAGGAUGGACGAGCUGAUGUCCUGGGCAAGAAUGAAAAUCAAGCCUGCCAAGUCCCGCAGCCUGUCCCUCAGAAGGGGAGUCAGAAAUGACAGCACCAUCUUUAUCGCAGGGGGCGAGAGAAUCCCACUUCUGUCUGAGCAUCCCAUCAGAAGCCUAGGUAGAGAGUACACAUCAGAGCUCUCCGACAAGCAAAUGGGUAGAGCUGUGUUGAAACAACUCUCAGAUGGCCUGGCAAAGAUCGACCAAAGCCAGCUCCCGGGGAAGUACAAGGUGUGGAUCUACCAGUUCACACUCUACAGAAGGAUAAUGUGGCCACUGAAGAUGAGUGAGAUUCCCUCAUCUACAACAACCAAGAUGGAUGGGAAAGCCAACUCAUUCAUCCGAAAGUGGCUGGGGCUACCAAGGUGCUUCUCUGACACUGGCCUCUUUGGGAAGAACACCUUGCAGCUGCCACUACAAUCCAUCAGUUUGGGCUACAAGCAGGAAAAGACCAGGCUGCUUCUUGAAUUAAGAGAGUCCACCGAUCAGUCAGUUAGAAACACAGGCGUCAAGGUCCGUACUGGCAGGAAGUGGGACGCCCAAACUGAAGUCGACCGAGCAGUUGGCAGGCUGCAACACCAAGAAAUCGUGGGCAGGGUCCAGGCAGGAAGGGCAGGACUAGGCUGGGGAGAGGCACCACGUUUUUGGUCUAAGGCCAACCGGAAAGAGAGAAAGGAGAUGGUGGUGUCAGAGGUGAUAAGGACGGAGGAAGAGCGCUAUAAGAUCAAGGCUGUGUCCCAGAGCCGACAAGGAAGCUGGACAACCUGGGAGGGGGU